UACGAAGGGGGCUAGCGUUGCUCGGAAUCACUGGGCGUAAAGCGCACGUAGGCGGAUUGUUAAGUCAGGGGUGAAAUCCUGGAGCUCAACUCCAGAACUGCCUUUGAUACUGGCGAUCUUGAGUCCGGGAGAGGUGAGUGGAACUGCGAGUGUAGAGGUGAAAUUCGUAGAUAUUCGCAAGAACACCAGUGGCGAAGGCGGCAACCUGGACAGUAACUGACGCUGAGACGCGAAAGCGUGGGGAGCAAACAGG
rnacentral:rRNA from 1 species